rnacentral:misc_RNA from 1 species
GAUGAAGAACGUAGCGAAAUGCGAUACGUAAUGUGAAUUGCAGAAUUCCGUGAAUCAUCGAAUCUUUGAACGCACAUUGCGCCCUUUGGUAUUCCUUAGGGCAUGCCUGUUCGAGCGUCAUUUAAACCUUCAAGCUAAGCUUGGUGUUGGGUGACUGUCCGCUUCACGGCGGACUCGCCUCAAAAUUAUUGGCGGCCGGUACAUUGGCUUCGAGCGCAGCAGAAACGCGAACUCGGGCCCGUCGUAUUGGCUCCCAGAAGCUAUCUUCACAAUUUUGACCUCGGAUCAGGUAGGGAUACCCGCUGAACUUAAGCAUAUCAAUAAGCGGAGGA